rfam:Brugia malayi, FR3, WGS project CAPY01000000 data, contig: ctg1512014m
AGACAAUGAUGACCUUAUAGUUCAGCGUAGUCCGACAGGACGGUGUUGAUAAAUCGCCCCUAUCUGAGUCUU